ACGGUUCUGGAAAUUCAGCCGGGAUGACACUGUUCCCCCUUGAUUUGACGCAUUUCCUAGGCCUGUGCUGCCUCGUCCGGUCCUGUCUCGGGUCCCACUAUCUUGUCCGGUCCUGUCUCAGGUCCCACUCUGCUGUCAGAUACCGUCUUCAUCUCCGGCUUCGUUUGCUUUCCUUCUCUCUGUCCGGCUUCAUCCUGUUCUUCCUCUCUUCUUCCUCUUCCUCAGUUCUUCUUCAGUUCUUCAGUUCUCUUCUACUCUCUUGCCGACUCUGCUCUCCAUCGUUCUGUUCUGGUCGACAUCUGUUAUCUGCACCGCUUCAUCUUUUCUUACGGAGCUUCUAUUUCCGAUCUGUUUCUGGUCAACUUCACAAUGUACCGACCUCGGUUUCUGAACUCCUGAUUUGUACCAACGUUGUUUUCCAGGUCUCAACACUAUCGCCUUCCUCCUAAUAAAUUUCUCCAUUCCAUGAGUCUCUCCAAGCUAAAAGGUCAUGCUGCCACUUCUGAUACUGCUGCUCCACUCAGUAGUGAAGACGUCACACAUUACGACAGCAAUGAAGAAAGUCAAACUUCUUCAAGUACCAAAUCGGCAACAUCGAGGACAUCCGCAAAGACCCUUUACUGGAUCAUCAAGAAAUUCAAUCCUAUAAAGAGACAGUUGGUCAACGAAAUAGGUUUUG